AUUGAACGCUGGCGGCAGGCCUAACACAUGCAAGUCGAACGGCAGCACAGAAGAGCUUGCUCUUUGGGUGGCGAGUGGCGGACGGGUGAGUAAUGUCUGGGAAACUGCCCGAUGGAGGGGGAUAACUACUGGAAACGGUAGCUAAUACCGCAUAACGUCGCAAGACCAAAGUGGGGGACCUUCGGGCCUCACACCAUCGGAUGUGCCCAGAUGGGAUUAGCUAGUAGGUGGGGUAAUGGCUCACCUAGGCGACGAUCCCUAGCUGGUCUGAGGGGAUGACCAGCCAAGCUGGAACUGAGACACGGGCCAGACUCCUACGGGAGGCAGCAGUGGGGAAUAUUGCACAAUGGGCGCAAGCCUGAUGCAGCCAUGCCGCGUGUAUGAAGAAGGCCUUCGGGUUGUAAAGUACUUUCAGCGGGGAGGAAGGCGGUGAGGUUAAUAACCUCGCCGAUUGACGUUACCCGCAGAAGAAGCACCGGUUAACUCCGUGCCAGCCGCCGCAGUAA
rnacentral:rRNA from 1 species